ensembl:ncRNA sncRNA:357 small non-coding RNA 357
GCAGCAGCAGCAGGUGCCCCAGAUGCGCAUUCAGCGUUUGAUCCUGCAGCCCCUGCCUGAGCAGCCCCGUGACACCA